GACGAACGCUGGCGGCGUGCUUAACACAUGCAAGUCGAACGGAAAGGCCCUGCUUUUGUGGGGUGCUCGAGUGGCGAACGGGUGAGUAACACGUGAGUAACCUGCCCUUGACUUUGGGAUAACUUCAGGAAACUGGGGCUAAUACCGGAUAGGAGCUCCUGCUGCAUGGUGGGGGUUGGAAAGUUUCGGCGGUUGGGGAUGGACUCGCGGCUUAUCAGCUUGUUGGUGGGGUAGUGGCUUACCAAGGCUUUGACGGGUAGCCGGCCUGAGAGGGUGACCGGCCACAUUGGGACUGAGAUACGGCCCAGACUCCUACGGGAGGCAGCAGUGGGGAAUAUUGCACAAUGGGCGGAAGCCUGAUGCAGCAACGCCGCGUGCGGGAUGACGGCCUUCGGGUUGUAAACCGCUUUCGCCUGUGACGAAGCGUGAGUGACGGUAAUGGGUAAAGAAGCACCGGCUAACUACGUGCCAGCAGCCGCGGUGAUACGUAGGGUGCGAGCGUUGUCCGGAUUUAUUGGGCGUAAAGGGCUCGUAGGUGGUUGAUCGCGUCGGAAGUGUAAUCUUGGGGCUUAACCCUGAGCGUGCCUUCGAUACGGGUUGACUUGAGGAAGGUAGGGGAGAAUGGAAUUCCUGGUGGAGCGGUGGAAUGCGCAGAUAUCAGGAGGAACACCAGUGGCGAAGGCGGUUCUCUGGGCCUUUCCUGACGCUGAGGAGCGAAAGCGUGGGGAGCGAACAGGCUUAGAUACCCUGGUAGUCCACGCUGUAAACGGUGGGUACUAGGUGUGGGGUCCAUUCCACGGGUUCCGUGCCGUAGCUAACGCUUUAAGUACCCCGCCUGGGGAGUACGGCCGCAAGGCUAAAACUCAAAGGAAUUGACGGGGCCCCGCACAAGCGGCGGAGCAUGCGGAUUAAUUCGAUGCAACGCGUAGAACCUUACCUGGGUUUGACAUGGAUCGGGAGCGCUCAGAGAUGGGUGUGCCUCUUUUGGGGUCGGUUCACAGGUGGUGCAUGGCUGUCGUCAGCUCGUGUCGUGAGAUGUUGGGUUAAGUCCCGCAACGAGCGCAACCCUUGUUCACUGUUGCCAGCACGUUAUGGUGGGGACUCAGUGGAGACCGCCGGGGUCAACUCGGAGGAAGGUGGGGAUGACGUCAAGUCAUCAUGCCCCUUAUGUCCAGGGCUUCACGCAUGCUACAAUGGCUGGUACAGAGAGUGGCGAGCCUGUGAGGGUGAGCGAAUCUCGGAAAGCCGGUCUCAGUUCGGAUUGGGGUCUGCAACUCGACCUCAUGAAGUCGGAGUCGCUAGUAAUCGCAGAUCAGCAACGCUGCGGUGAAUACGUUCCCGGG
rnacentral:rRNA from 1 species